AUAUAGAAAAUAUAGCUAAUCUCUCUUGGAUGGCCUGAACCAUCAAAUACUAAACUUGCUGAAACUAAUUGAGUACUUUCUUUUUUCCCCAGUUAUUGCUAAGUAUCAUAAUACAUCCAUGUUCCCACUGGCAUAUGAAGAUCAGAGAAUUAUAAAAUGAGGACAUGAAAUCUGUUGAGCUUAAUGAAUGAAGGAAUGGAAAGUUACUAAAUGUAAUUAAAUGGACUGCCUUGAGACAAAUCCUCCAACGGUUCUCCUCCCUACUGGCUCAGAAUCAUGCUCUCCCACACUUCCGCCUCCCUGUAUCAAAAUAUGGGCCAACAGGAAGACACAAGAAACUUAUCUUUUUUUUAAAGAAGUUCUGGUUCUAAAGAUUGCUUCUGAUUUUAAGAGCAUGAGAGAAAGAAGGUCAAGGGAAGAUAGAUUUUGUCUCCUUUGCAAAUUCUUAUGACCUGUUCC
rnacentral:lncRNA from 1 species